rnacentral:rRNA from 1 species
UGAUCCUGGCUCAGGAUGAACGCUAGCGGCAGGCUUAACACAUGCAAGUCGAGGGGUAUAGUUCUUCGGAACUAGAGACCGGCGCACGGGUGCGUAACGCGUAUGCAAUCUACCUUUUACAGAGGGAUAGCCCAGAGAAAUUUGGAUUAAUACCUCAUAGUAUAAUGACUCGGCAUCGAGAUAUUAUUAAAGUCACAACGGUAAAAGAUGAGCAUGCGUCCCAUUAGCUAGUUGGUAAGGUAACGGCUUACCAAGGCUACGAUGGGUAGGGGUCCUGAGAGGGAGAUCCCCCACACUGGUACUGAGACACGGACCAGACUCCUACGGGAGGCAGCAGUGAGGAAUAUUGGACAAUGGGCGCAAGCCUGAUCCAGCCAUGCCGCGUGCAGGAUGACGGUCCUAUGGAUUGUAAACUGCUUUUAUACGAGAAGAAACACUACUUCGUGAAGUAGCUUGACGGUAUCGUAAGAAUAAGGA